CACCUAACCUGCCCCCUAUGGCAUAUAUUCUUACUGUGGAUUGGGUGAAGAGAUUUCAGGAAGUCUAUGAACUUAGUUGAGGAAAAAUUAAUAAUUAUUUUCAUUAAUCUCUAAUUGAAAUUAGCAUUGCCUUCAAAUAUGAAUGUAGGCAAUAAAACAUUUUAAGUAAUGUAUAGGGUUCAUCAGAUUGCCAAAGUGAACCAUGACACACAGCUAAUUGGUAAUGAAGGCAAAAGAUGGAAACAGUCAAUAAUGGUGGAAAGUCAGGUAUAGUAAUCUACAAUUGGUAGAGAUGGGAAUUAGUCUAGUGAAUUGUGCACACCUUUGCCCCAGAAAUCCGAAUGUGAGGCAGAAGAUCCAGGAGGUCAAAGAUAGAACAAAAGAUCAAAAUAUUCAUUGAAAUACUUUUUGUAGUAGCAAUGAAUUAUACAGAAGCCCAAAUACUGAGGAAUGACUAAACAAGGUAUACAAUGGAAUGUUACUGUGUGAGGACUGGCUUUAGCUCUCCCCUGAUUAUAACAAUGAAGAUACUUAGCUCUUCCUUUAUUGGGAAGAUUGAAUUGUAAUCCUCUGUCUGUUCAUUUAAUCCCCCAAAAGGUGAUAACUCAGUAUUUUAAGUAGAUCUACCCAUUUUAACUACAAAAAGAUGUUAAGUAACUACAAAAAGUGAACUAACCAAAAAAGGUGUUAAGUAACCCAAAAGGUAUAAUCUAACCAAAGAAGAUGUGAAAUAAAGAGUGGUCAGUCCUAGAGAGGAGCAUCUGUGGUGAUUGGUAGACAUGAAAUUUAGUCGAGGUGAUACAAGAGAAAAAGAUCUUUAAAAAGAGGACAAGAGGCCAGAAGAAGGAUUAUUCGAUUUGAUUCGAUUCAAGAUUUGAGUGGAUGGAGAAUUCUCUGACUUGGAAUUGGACUGGAGGAAUUGGACUCCUGGAGGAACUUUUGCAGGAGAUCCCAGACUGCUUUUCCAUUUUAGAUGGUCACCAUUGGAUUCUCAGAAGAAUCUGUAGAUUCCACCAGACUACUCCAGGGGCCCGUGAUACACACAAAAAUGCAGAGACCACUAAGGAGAGGUUCCUGUUCCCGAAAAGAGCUGAAGCUGGAACUUGAAGAGAGGCCAUCCCGCAGAAAGGGGAGCAGGGAGCUCUGCAGGAUGCAUCUGAGGAGCAGGAGCAGGAGCCCAGAGCUUCCAGAUCUUGCGGUCAUACUGGAGGAAAGAGUCUCCUGGCUGGUACAAGCCAGCAGGAUUUGACUGGCAUCAUUUCUGAAGUCAAGAAAUAAAUAUUGUCUCAGAGGAUUGGUGUGGAUUUCC
rnacentral:lncRNA from 1 species